rnacentral:rRNA from 1 species
UACGUAGGGAGCAAGCGUUGUCCGGAAUCAUUGGGCGUAAAGCGCGUGUAGGCGGUUCGGUAAGUCUGCUGUGAAAGUCCAGGGCUCAACCCUGGAAUGCCGGUGGAAACUGUCGAGCUAGAGUCCGGAAGAGGCGAGUGGAAUUCCUGGUGUAGCGGUGAAAUGCGCAGAUAUCAGGAGGAACACCAAUGGCGAAGGCAGUGCCUGGGAAGUACCUGACGCUCAGGUGCGAAAGCUAGGGGAGCGAACAGG